AAGGGCACCACAAGAACGCGUGGAGCAUGUGGCUUAAUUUGACUCAACGCGGGAAAUCUUACCGGGUCCGGACACACUGAGGAUUGACAGGCGAAGGAGCUUUCGGGCUCUGUAAAUAUGCUAGUCCUUUCAUGAUUGUGUGAUAGGUGGUGCAUGGCCGUUCUUAGUUCGUGGAAUAUUCUGUCUGCUUAAUUGCGUCUUAUCAUUGGCAGGGCCUUUCAUCAAAGUGUUUCAAGCUGGCGCUUAUCCUUCGGGAUUUGUUCGUCUUGGCUGAACACUGAAAGGUUACACCUGCUUUUUGAAACGAACGUGACCCCAACCCUUCUUUGUCGAGAACUACAAAACUCAUUUUUUUCUAACUUGUUAGAAUUAAGUGUUUAAACUAAUGGUACCGUUACAGAAGGGGACUGCCAGGUGAAACCUGGAGGAAGGUUGGGGCAAUAACAGGUCUGUGAUGCCCUUAGAUGUUCCGGGCCGCACACGUGCUACAAUGAUCUAUGCAGUAAGCAUAUAUUAUAGUAUACUGUGAUUUAUAUCCAGUAUCAAACCUUCCUCGAAAGUUAGUAGGUAAUCAAUUCGAAGUAUAGAUUUCCUUUAAAGCUAUCAGUGUUCACAUUUUUGUGAUACACGUUGCUCUUUUUUGUAAGACUUCAUAGUGGGGACAGACCUUUGUUAAUUGUUGGUCUCGUUUUCAACUAGGAAUGCCUUGUACGGGUCUUUGGUUCAACAGACCACCCGGAAUACGUCCCUGCCCUUUGUACACACCGCCCGUC
rnacentral:rRNA from 1 species